UCUGACCAGCCAUGCCGCGUGGAGGAUGAAGGUCCUCUGGAUUGUAAACUUCUUUUAUCUGGGAAGAAACCACUUUUUUCUAAGGGUGUUGACGGUACCAGAGGAAUAAGCACCGGCUAACUCCGUGCCAGCAGCCGCGGUAAUACGGAGGGUGCAAGCGUUAUCCGGAUUCACUGGGUUUAAAGGGUGCGUAGGCGGAUUUGUAAGUCCGCGGUGAAAUCUCCAAGCUUAACUUGGAAACUGCCGUGGAUACUAUAAGUCUUGAAUGUUGUGGAGGUUAGCGGAAUAUGUCAUGUAGCGGUGAAAUGCAUAGAUAUGACAUAGAACACCAAUUGCGAAGGCAGCUGGCUACACAAAUAUUGACGCUGAGGCACGAAAGCGUGGGGAUCAAACAGGAUUAGAUACCCUGGUAGUCCACGCCCUAAACGAUGAUUACUCGACAUUUGCGAUACACAGCAAGUGUCUGAGCGAAAGCAUUAAGUAAUCCACCU
rnacentral:rRNA from 1 species